rnacentral:rRNA from 1 species
AGAUGCUAAUACCUGGAGUAACAAACACUAAGACGCAUGUCUAGAGUUUGUAAAGAAUGGUUCUUGCUAUCACUCCUUGGAUGGACCUGCGGUGCAUUAGCUAGUUGGUAAGGUAACGGCUUACCAAGGCAAUGAUGCAUAGCCGAGUUGAGAGACUGAUCGGCCACAUUGGGACUGAGACACGGCCCAAACUCCUACGGGAGGCAGCAGUAGGGAAUCUUCCACAAUGGACGAAAGUCUGAUGGAGCAACGCCGCGUGAGUGAAGAAGGGUUUCGGCUCGUAAAGCUCUGUUGGUAGUGAAGAAAGAUAGAGGUAGUAACUGGCCUUUAUUUGACGGUAAUUACUUAGAAAGUCACGGCUAACUACGUGCC